rnacentral:rRNA from 1 species
GUCCAGACUCCUACGGGAGGCAGCAGUGGGGAAUAUUGCACAAUGGGGGAAACCCUGAUGCAGCAACGCCGCGUGAGUGAGGAAGUAUUUCGGUAUGUAAAGCUCUAUCAGCAGGGAAUAGAAAAGAAGGUACCUGAAAAAGAAGCCCCGGCUAACUACGUGCCAGCAGCCGCGGUAAUACGUAGGGAGCAAGCGUUAUCCGGAUUUACUGGGUGUAAAGGGCGCGUAGGCGGGAUGGCAAGUCAGAUGUGAAAUCCAGGGGCUCAACCCCUGAACUGCAUUUGAAACUGUCGUUCUUGAGUACUGGAGAGGUUGACGGAAUUCCUAGUGUAGCGGUGAAAUGCGUAGAUAUUAGGAGGAACACCAGUGGCGAAGGCGGUCAACUGGACAGCAACUGACGCUGAGGCGCGAAAGCGUGGGGAGCAAACAGGAUUAGAUACCCCAGUAGG